CCCCUAUUGUUUUUUAACUGAAUGCACAAACAAAUAACUUUAAAUACACUUUUCACUAACCAUCCAUCAAUAAAGCAUGCAUUAAUUAAUAUUCCUCAAACUCUCCAUUCCGCUUGGGCUAUUUUAAGCUCUCUUUUCCUAAGUCUUUAAUGAAACAUAUGUUAGGAUGCAUGUUAGGGGGAGGGUUACAUAGACAAGCAGGUGCAACCAGACACACUAAAAAUACACACCAGGCCGAAGGCAGCUGAGUAGCGAUAAUUAACUCUUUCUGAAACAGAAAAGCGGGUUUAACUCCUUCCUAGCCAAGUCAGAAAUGACAUUGCUAUAUACUGGCCAAGAAGGGUACAGGUCUGUACUUUUGAGAAAUGCUGAUCAGCAAGAAUUAUGAGAUUCCCCUAUUAACCCAUCACAUAAUUGAACAAAUUUGUAACUGUAGUCAAUUUAAACCAUACUUGGCCCUUUGCCCUAUGCAGUUACACACAACUAUUUUGAAAGGUGGAAAGGUUUAAAUUUCAUGCCUUGCAGUCUUGGACACAUUCAGCUUUAACGGAAGACAUGCAUUUGAGACAGCGUGUCUCUUUCUAAAUGUUUCCGUUUUAUCAACGUGAAUAGUUUCCAGAUAAAUCUUUUGGUUCCGACUGUCUGUCAGUCUUACUCAUUCCGCGGAACUGUUGGUGGCCUUUUCUGUGUCCCCAAUCUAUUAGUGCGUACAAUUAAGUAAACUGAGAAAUCAAAGUGUUAGUUGACGGGAUUAUGCAAGGCUGGGCGACGAAGUCCUCUUGGGUGGAGUCGUGGUUGGUUGAUGGGUUUGCCAAAUCGACCAUUUAAUACCCUGUGAAUUCCAUAGUACAAGUGCUUCACAACAAAAUGUAAAAUUAGUUCAUGUCUGGAAUUAAUCGCAAUGAUUCUUAUUUGAUCCAAACCCUGAUUGAUAAAUACCUACAGCGGAAUGGUGUUUGUCCUAUCCUGACCUAAUAAAUCAUAUUCUUUUAGUAUUAACUCUGUACACCACAGCGGAGGAUAGAAUAGCAGUGAGAGAAAGGCUACCUUGUAUCUGAAUAUCAGAGAAUUUAGUCGGCUUAGAGGGGAUCCAUUGUUAAGUCAUAACUGGAUGGGGCUUUUUUUUUUUUUUUAAACACCAGCUCUCUACUUCAUACUUGUUUGCAACACAUUUCUAUUGCUUAAAGAAAUUAAUCAACUGCUUGUUGUCCGCAUAACUUGGUCUUGGAAGUCUGAUCAAGACUU